rnacentral:rRNA from 1 species
GUUAAGUCAGGCAACGAGCGAGACCCACGCCCACCAGUUGCCAGCGUACUCUCUGGAGUGACGGGUACGACUGUGGGGACCGCCGCUGCUAAAGCGGAGGAAGGAAUGGGCAACGGUAGGUCAGUAUGCCCCGAAUAUCCCGGGCUACACGCGAGCUACAAUGGUUGGUACAAUGGGUAUCUACCCCGAAAGGGGACGGGAAUCUCCUAAAACCAAUCUUAGUUCGGAUUGAGGGCUGCAACUCGCCCUCAUGAAGCUGGAAUCCGUAGUAAUCGCGUUUCAACAGAACGCGGUGAAUACGUCCCUGCUCCUU